rnacentral:rRNA from 1 species
ACGAACGCUGGCGGCAGGCUUAACACAUGCAAGUCGAGCGGGCCCGCGAGGGUCAGCGGCGGACGGGUUAGUAACGCGUGGGAACGUGCCUUUUGCUCUGGAAUAGCCCUGGGAAACUGGGGGUAAUACCGGAUGUGCCCUGAGGGGGAAAGAUUUAUCGGCAAGAGAUCGGCCCGCGUCUGAUUAGGUAGUUGGUGUGGUAAUGGCGCACCAAGCCGACGAUCGGUAGCUGGUUUGAGAGGAUGAUCAGCAACACUGGGACUGAGACACGGCCCAGACUCCUACGGGAGGCAGCAGUGGGGAAUCUUAGACAAUGGGCGCAAGCCUGAUCUAGCCAUGCCGCGUGGGUGAUGAAGGCCUUAGGGUCGUAAAGCCCUUUCGCCGGGGAAGAUAAUGACGGUACCCGGUAAAGAAACCCCGGCUAACUCCGU